CAAAUACACACACGUGUCGGCACAUGGCCAUGGGUGCCCCCGGGUAGAGGGGGUUUGGUCAUGGGGCGCGUGGAGGCUCAAC
rnacentral:sRNA from 1 species